CGCCCUUGAGUUUGAUCAUGGCUCAGGACGAACGCUGGCGGCGUGCUUAAUACCUGCAAGUCUUAGGGGUUAGUUCCCUUCGGGGAUCUGAUCACUGGCGCACGGGUGAGUAACACGUAAGUUAUCUGCCCUUGGGUCUGGCAUAACUCCGGGAAACCGGGGCUAAUUCCAGAUGAUAUCGUAAGAUCAAAGCCUUCGGGCGCCCAGGGAUGAGCUUGCGUCUGAUUAGCUUGUUGGCGGGGUAAUGGCCCACCAAGGCGACGAUCAGUAGCCGGUCUGAGAGGAUGAUCGGCCACAUUGGGACUGAGACACGGCCCAGACUCCUACGGGAGGCAGCAGUAAGGAAUAUUGCGCAAUGGACGAAAGUCUGACGCAGCAACGCCGCGUGCAGGAUUUAUGCCCUUCGGGUUGUAAACUGCUGUAGCAGGGGAAUAACAACUCGUCACGGACGGGUUUGAAGGUACCCUGAAAGUAAGCGCCGGCUAACUACGUGCCAGCAGCCGCGGUAA
rnacentral:rRNA from 1 species